rnacentral:rRNA from 1 species
UCGAAGCGGUAACAGGUGUAGCAAUACAUGCUGACGAGCGGCAGACGGGUGAGGAACACGUACGCAACUUCCCUCAAACCGGGGCACAACCUUGAGAAAUCAGGGCUAAUUCCCCAUAACAUUGCGAAAGGGCAUCUGAUUGCAAUUAAAGAUUUAUCAGUUUGAGAUAGGCGUGCGUUCGAUUAGCUAGUUGGUAAGGUAACGGCCUACCAAGGCAACGAUCGAUAGCUGGUGUGAGAGCACGACCAGCCACACGGGCACUGAGAUACGGGCCCGACUCCUACGGGAGGCAGCAGUAAGGAAUAUUGGUCAAUGGACGCAAGUCUGAACCAGCCAUGCCGCGUGAGGGAUGAAGGUCCUCUGGAUUGUAAACCUCUUUUAUCUGUGAAUAAAUACCUGAUUUCUAUCGGGUUUGAAGGUAAUAGAUGAAUAAGCACCGGCUAACUCCGUGCCAGCAGCCGCGGUAAUACGGAGGGUGCAAGCGUUAUCCGGAUUUACUGGGUUUAAAGGGUGCGUAGGUGGAUUGGUAAGUCAGUGGUGAAAUACUUUCGCUUAACGAAGGAACUGCCAUUGAUACUAUCAAUCUUGAAUGUAGUGGAGGUAGGCGGAAUGCGUCAUGUAGCGGUGAAAUGCUUAGAUAUGACGCAGAACACCAAUUGCGAAGGCAGCUUGCUACACUACUAUUGACACUGAGGCACGAAAGCGUGGGGAUCAAACAGGAUUAGAUACCCUGGUAGUCCACGCCCUAAACGAUGAUUACUCGAUCUCGGCGAUACACAGUCGGGGUCUAUGUGAAAGCAUUAAGUAAUCCACCUGGGGAGUACGAUCGCAAGAUUGAAACUCAAAGGAAUUGACGGGGGUCCGCACA